UGGGGAAUAUUGGACAAUGGGCGCAAGCCUGAUCCAGCCAUGCCGCGUGAGUGAAGAAGGCCUUAGGGUUGUAAAGCUCUUUCAGUCGUGACGAUGAUGACGGUAGCGACAGAAGAAGCCCCGGCUAACUCCGUGCCAGCAGCCGCGGUAAUACGGAGGGGGCAAGCGUUGUUCGGAUUUACUGGGCGUAAAGGGCGCGUAGGCGGGGUAUCCAGUUAGGGGUGAAAGCCCGGGGCUCAACCUCGGAACUGCCUUUAAAACUGAUACUCUAGAGUCCGGAAGAGGGUCGCGGAAUUCCCAGUGUAGAGGUGAAAUUCGUAGAUAUUGGGAGGAAUACCGGUGGCGAAGGCGACCGCCUGGACGGGUACUGACACUGAGGCGCGAAAGCGUGGGGAGCAAACAGGAUUAGAUACCCGCGUAGUCC
rnacentral:rRNA from 1 species